rnacentral:rRNA from 1 species
UACGUAGGGGGGCGAGCGUUGUCCGGAUUUAUUGGGCGUAAAGAGCUCGUAGGCGGCUUGGCAAGUCGGGUGUGAAACCUCCAGCUCAACCUGGAGACGCCACUCGAUACUGCCAUGGCUAGAGUCCGGUAGGGGACCACGGAAUUCCUGGUGUAGCGGUGAAAUGCGCAGAUAUCAGGAAGAACACCUAUGGCGAAGGCAGCUCUCUGGGACGGUACUGACGCUGAGACGCGAAAGCGUGGGGAGCGAACAGG